rnacentral:rRNA from 1 species
GAUGAACGCUGGCGGCGUGCCUAAUACAUGCAAGUCGAGCGAAUGGAUUAAGAGCUUGCUCUUAUGAAGUUAGCGGCGGACGGGUGAGUAACACGUGGGUAACCUGCCCAUAAGACUGGGAUAACUCCGGGAAACCGGGGCUAAUACCGGAUAACAUUUUGAACCGCAUGGUUCGAAAUUGAAAGGCGGCUUCGGCUGUCACUUAUGGAUGGACCCGCGUCGCAUUAGCUAGUUGAUGAGGUAACAGCUCACCAAGGCAAAGAUGCGUAGCCGCACUGAGAGGGGGAUCGGCCACACUGGGACUGAACAACGGCCCAGACUCCUACGGGAGGCAGCAGUAGGGAAUCUUCCGAAAUGGACGAAAGUCUGACGGAGCAACGCCGCGUGAGUGAUGAAGGCUUUCGGGUCGUAAAACUCUGUUGUUAGGGAAGAACAAGUGCUAGUUGAAUAAGCUGGCACCUUGACGGUACCUAACCAGAAAGCCACGGCUAACUACGUGCCAGCCGCCGCGGUAA